CAGCUUGGCUUUAAUCCAAUUGACUAACCUAUGCAUGAAAUACAUGUGCCAAGGUGUUUCAGUAGGGACCUUUUAAUCUGAAGAGUUAUAAAAAACAAAUCUGAAACAUACCUGAACCAAAACCCUGGAAGUGGACACACCUCAACACCUCAACUUUGGGAUGGUAUCAUAACACUAGAUUAGCUCCUCACAUCUUCCCUGGGCUGCUGGAGAGUUAUUAAUGCAAAAUGAAGUCUCCUUUCCAGUGGAACAGGAAGGUUCUGCUUUGGACAGGGGGCUGUCCAGGAACAGCAUGAAGGGAGAAUGAAGGGACAAGACACGGUCAGGCUCGGGGCUGCGCCCCUGACAACAUGCUCCCGGUUGAGGAUAAGGGACAGGCAGGGAUAUGUACAGAUUCCUGGAUGAGUGCAUGGCUGCACAGAUGAUGUCAAUGAGUGGGCUUCAGCUUCCUUGACCAUGGGAUGGUGUUCCAGGAAGGAGGACUGGUGAGAAGAGAUGGAGUCCACCUGAACAAGAAUGGGAUAAGUAUCUUUUUACUGGCUUUCCAACUUGAACAGGUGGAUAAGAAGAUGGUGGAAUGGGGCAAGGUCGGAAGCAUCUCUUACUCAAGCUGUGCAGCGGUAUCCAGAGGUGUUACAGUCCUGAUGAGCUCCCCCUGCUGGACACCACCAGUCUGCUGUACUGGAGCCAACUCUUGGGCUGCAUGUGCUCUUGGAUUGCUGAAGCUGGACAGAGUUUAGAUACUGACCCUCUCUCACAUGCUCCAGCUGCAGACCCAGUAUCUGAUACCUCUCUGGGCAGUGGGAAACCGGCAGUCCAGAGGCUUAGGCCCUAAACUAGUGCCAGCUCUCCUAAGCCUCCUCAAUAGCUGCUUCACACUCCCUGAGGCCAGGUCUAAACUAUAAACUUACAUUGGUAUACCUACAUUGCUCAGGGGUGUGAAAAAUCCAUGCACCUGAGGGACGCAGUUAUACCGACCUAACCCCCGGUGUAGAUAGUGCUAUGUUGACGGGAGAGCUUCUUCUGUCAACGUAGCUACCGCUUCUCAUAGAGGUGGAUUAACUAUGCUGAUGGGAGAUGCUCCAUUUCUUCACUGACACAUUAGCUGCGCCACUGCAGCAUUUUAAGGGUAUACCUGCCCUGAGUUACACCAAAGCUGUAGACCCUCUACUUUACUGUCUGCCUCUUUGGGGAUUAUGUGACAGUGUAAGCAAGUAACACAGAGACGCUGCAAAAGAUUUUCUAACUACACACAAACUGUACUCCUAGAGAAAACAAAAGAUGUAUAUGGAUCUGCAGAAAAACAAUAACGACCUGCACACAAAAAUCUCCCUCCAGUAUCCUCAUCUUUCUGAGAGCCCUUUGAGCUUAGGUCAGUCCUUUUAGAGGUCCCAGAUCCUUCUUGCAGUCCCUUUUGUCAGGUAACCACCUUAAAUUCCUUCAAAUCCCUUGUCAGGUAAUCCACUGCUUGGUUGCUAGCUUACCUGAAAGGCUGGGAGGUAGCCAAGUUAUUGUCCAACGCUGCUUGUAUUUGAAGAAGAGACCUUCCAGGUUGACGACCCUUGUUGCCCUGCAUUGUUUGCCUUUUGUCAAAUCGAUACUUCUUAUCAUUCUAAUCCAAGAUGCAGGCAAAAAGACAACAGGGAAGGCACAGGACAAUCUUAUAAUCAAAAUGAGGCUCACGAAGCAGAAUGAAUGUGUAGUUUGAUAUAGAUACAUACAGAGAUAUACUAAAUCACAAAAUAGUAACCUGUUUUGCUGGCUAUUCUAGCAAGCCUAAAUCAUCUCUUCUUCAUUAUGGACAUGAUCCAAUGUGCAGAGAAGUUAAUGGGAGUCUUGCACAUUGGAUCAGACUAUAACAGCAUAUGUUACUGGGUCUAAAGUAUAAAUUCUUGAGAAAAGUCAUUAUGGUCCAUUCUUAAUAGCCACUUUGAAAAUUGCAAUAUUGUGGCCAAUUUAAAAGUCUCUUAAUUUUUUUUAUUUAAAAGUCAGUCAAAGUAUGGACAAACAGAACAGUACUGUGAAGUUCCAGGCACCUCCUUUAAGACUCUUGACCUCAUUUUUGCUAAUCUUUCCUGCUUCCUUCUAUCCCUCCCCCCUCCUUCCCCGAUCCUUGAAAUGGACACAAAGGAUGAAAUCCUGGGUCUGUUGAAGUCCAUGGCAAUUUAACAUUGACUUCUUUGGGGGCAUGAUUUCACCCCAGGCCUCCAGCAAUUUCAGGUACCCUAAGGACAGAAUGGCCCAGCAUCCACACUGUUACAAGGUGCAGCAUUUCUUCUCCUUUGCACCAAGACACUGCCCUAACCUUUCUUGUUCUUUGUCCCAUCUGACUGCUAUUCUGCUUAGCAGCUAUAUUGAGGCACUAGGGUUCUCACCCCUGCUUGUGCACAUGCAAAGAGACUGGAUACAAUGUGCCCCAAAAUGUCACCACAUACAAACCCAAACAAAAAUCACACAUUGUAAUGUGGCAAUGACACCUAUUAAGCAAUAGUAAUAAACAUAAGUGAUAUUAAGGGUCUAAUUCUCUUCCCUCUGAAAUUAGGGAGAAGUUUGCUAUUGAUUUCAGUAGGAAAAGGAUAUAGCCUAGAGUGUAAUUCCUGGAUUUUCUAGUGGCAUUUUAAAUCAUGCUUACUUUACCUCACUUGCCCUAUUUUUUUCUUCUUGUCGCACCCACUAUGUAUGCCUUUCAUAGGCUCUUCUUUGUAAAAUGAAAAGAGAAAAUCAUGUAAUUUACAACUCUUCUAAAUGUAUCUAUCAGCUUGUCAGAAUGGCUUAUUAAAGAGCCGGGUCA